rnacentral:rRNA from 1 species
UGGCGGACGGGUGAGUAACGCGUGGGUAACCCUCCUUGUACUGGGGGACAACAGUUAGAAAUGACUGCUAAUACCGCAUAAGCGCACAGUAUCGCAUGAUACAGUGUGAAAAACUCCGGUGGUACAAGAUGGACCCGCGUCUGAUUAGCUAGUUGGUAAGGUAACGGCUUACCAAGGCGACGAUCAGUAGCCGACCUGAGAGGGUGACCGGCCACAUUGGGACUGAGACACGGCCCAA